GACAGAGGGUGCAAGCGUUAAUCGGAAUGACUGGGCGUAAAGGGCGUGUAGGUGGUAAUCUAAGUUUGAUGUGAAAGCCCUCGGCUCAACCGGGGAAGUGCGUCAAAUACUAGAUUGCUAGAGUGAGAGAGGGUUGUGGAAUUUCCGGUGUAGCGGUGAAAUGCGUAGAUAUCGGAAGGAACACCAGUGGCGAAGGCGACAACCUGGCUCUUUACUGACACUGAGGCGCGAAGGCGUGGGGAGCAAACAGG
rnacentral:rRNA from 1 species